GGGGAUGUAGCUCAGGUGGGAGAGCGCUUGCUUUGCACGCAAGAGGUCGGGGGUUCGAAUCCCCCCAUCUCCACCA
rnacentral:tRNA from 1 species